rnacentral:rRNA from 1 species
GGGGAGGCAGCAGUGGGGAAUUUUGGACAAUGGGGGCAACCCUGAUCCAGCAAUGCCGCGUGAGUGAAGAAGGCCUUCGGGUUGUAAAGCUCUUUUGUCAGGGAAGAAACAGCAGCUCUAACACAGUCUGCGAAUGACGGUACCUGAAGAAUAAGCACCGGCUAACUACGUGCCAUCAGCCGCGG